rnacentral:rRNA from 1 species
AGCAUUAUACAGCGAAACUGCGAAUGGCUCAUUAUAUAAGUUAUCGUUUAUUUGAUAGUGCCUUACUACUUGGAUAACCGUGGUAAUUCUAGAGCUAAUACAUGCUGAAAGCCCCGACUCACGGAGGGGCGUAUUUAUUAGAUUAAAAACCAAUGCCCUUCGGGGCUCCUUGGUGAUUCAUGAUAACUUCUCGAAUCGCACGGCCUUGCGCCGGCGAUGGUUCAUUCAAAUUUCUUCCCUAUCAACUUUCGAUGUUUGGGUAGUGGCCAAACAUGGUGGCAACGGGUAACGGAGGGUUAGGGCUCGACCCCGGAGAAGGAGCCUGAGAAACGGCUCCUACAUCCAAGGAAGGCAGCAGGCGCGCAAAUUACCCAAUCCCGACUCGGGGAGGUAGUGACAAUAAAUACUGAUGCAGGGCUCUUUAGGGUCUUGCAAUUGGAAUGAGUACAAUUUAAAUCCCUUAACGAGGAACAAUUGGAGGGCAAGUCUGGUGCCAGCAGCCGCGGUAACUCCAGCUCCAAUAGCGUAUAUUAAAGUUGUUGUGGUUAAAAAGCUCGUAGUUGAACCUUGGGCCUGGCCGUCCGGUCCGCCUCACCGCGUGCACUGGCACGGCCGGGCCUUCCCACCGCGGAAUCGCAUGCCCUUUACUGGGCGUGUCGGGGAAGCGGUACUUUUACUGUGAAAAAAUUAGAGUGCUCUAAGCAGGCCUAUGCUCGAAUACAUUAGCAUGGAAUAAUAGAAUAGGACAGGCGUUCUAUUUUGUUGGUUUCUAGGACGUCUGUAAUGAUUAACAGAAACAAUCGGGGGCGUCAGUAUUGCAUCGUCAGAGGUGAAAUUCUUAGAUCGACGCAAGACUAACUACUGCGAAAGCAUUCGCCAAGGGUGUUUUCAUUAAUCAGGAACGAAAGUUAGGGGAUCGAAGACGAUCAGAUACCGUCGUAGUCUUAACCAUAAACUAUGCCGACUAGGGAUCGGGCGGUGUUAAUUUUUGACCCGCUCGGCACCUUACGAGAAAUCUUAAGUGCU